rnacentral:rRNA from 1 species
GCGAUCCGGACAGGGAUGGGCAUGCGGCGCAUUAGCUGGUCGGCGGGGUAACGGCCCACCGAGGCGACGAUGCGUAGGGGUUCUGAGAGGAAGGCCCCCCACACUGGUACUGAGACACGGACCAGACUCCUACGGGAGGCAGCAGUGAGGAAUAUUGGUCAAUGGGCGCGAGCCUGAACCAGCCAAGCCGCGUGAGGGAAGAAGGUACAGCGUAUCGUAAACCUCUUUUGUCAGGGAACAAAGGCGGGGACUAGUCCCCGGAUGAGGGUACCUGAAGAAAAAGCAUCGGCUAACUCCGUGCCAGCAGCCGCGGUAAUACGGAGGAUGCGAGCGUUAUCCGGAUUUAUUGGGUUUAAAGGGUGCGCAGGCGGCCUGUUAAGUCAGCGGUAAAAGCCCGGGGCUCAACCCCGGCGAGCCGUUGAAACUGGCGGUCUGGAGUUGGAGAGAAGUACGCGGAAUGCGCGGUGUAGCGGUGAAAUGCUUAGAUAUCGCGCAGAACCCCGAUUGCGAAGGCAGCGUACCGGCUCCACACUGACGCUGAGGCACGAAAGCGUGGGUAUCGAACAGGAUUAGAUACCCUGGUAGUCCACGCAGUAAACGAUGAAUGCUUGCUGUCCGGGCAGAGAUAUGCCUGGGGGGCGAAGCGAAAGCGAUAAGCAUUCCACCUGGGGAGUACGCCGGCAACGGUGAAACUCAAAGGAACUGACGGGGGCCCGCACAAGCGGAGGAACAUGUGGUUUAAUUCGAUGAUACGCGAGGAACCUUACCCGGGCUCAAACGGGAGACGGCAGGGGCAGAGACGCCCCUUUCCCUCGGGACGUCUUCCGAGGUGCUGCAUGGUUGUCGUCAGCUCGUGCCGUGAGGUGUCGGCUUAAGUGCCAUAACGAGCGCAACCCCCGCGUGCAGUUGCCAGCAGGAAAGGCUGGGGACUCUGCACGGACUGCCGGCGCAAGCCGCGAGGAAGGCGGGGAUGACGUCAAAUCAGCACGGCCCUUACGUCCGGGGCGACACACGUGUUACAAUGGGGGGUACAGCGGGAAGCCAGGCGGCGACGCCGAGCGGAACCCGAAAGCCCCUCUCAGUUCGGAUCGGAGUCUGCAACCCGACUCCGUGAAGCUGGAUUCGCUAGUAAUCGCGCAUCAGCCAUGGCGCGGUGAAUACGUUCCCGGGCCUUGCACACACCGCCCGUCAAG